rnacentral:rRNA from 1 species
AUGGAAAAUCAUUGGCUGGAGAUGAGGGAAACAAGGGAUAUCAUUGCUGCUGGCUGGUCUCGAGCUACAAGGCCUUUCCACUCUUCUGCCUCUCUCAUUAAUUUUAAGAUGCGGCGCCUUCGCACGGCCCUCAGACAAUGGAAAAUGCAUCGGCCUAGUCUUGAUAUGCUGAUCAGUAAUAAUAAAACUGUGGUGGAUUAUCUGAAUGCAGUUGAGGAAAAGCGCCUGUUGUCCCCCCUCGAGUUGGUUCUGAGGAAGUUUGCCUCCGUGAAAGCGGAGCAACUAAUCUUGUGGCAAACUGCACUUUGGCGUCGCCGUGCUAAGCUGCGUUGGUGUGUUUCGGGGGACAAAAAUAACAAGUUCUUCCAUGCAGCAGCAAAUUGUCAGUCCAGGCGUAACAAGAUUAAGGUCAUUGUUCAUAAUGGCGUGGAGUUCUUUGACACCCAUAAUAAGCUGCAGUUGGCCACGAGCUACUUCUCUGAUUUGUUGGGGCAAGCGUCACCAUCCCAGCCCAUAGUUCAGCUUAAUGAUCUCUAUGGGGUUCUGGACUUGGCUUGUCUUCAGGAAGAAUUCACUUGGUCUGAAAUUGUCAAUGCUAUCAACAACUCUCCAAAUAACAGAAGCCCUUGCCCGGACGGCUUCACAAAUGAAUUCUUCAAGGCCUUUCACUCCAAUCUUCGAGAGGACCUGCAGCUCUUUUUCUCACAAUUGUAUCAUCAUCAAGUUGAUCUUUUCAGAAUCAACACGGCGUACAUCUCCCUACUACCUAAGAAGGAUAACCCGCUUGAGUUGCGUGACUUUUGA